UACGGAGGGGGCUAGCGUUGUUCGGAAUUACUGGGCGUAAAGCGCGCGUAGGCGGCUUUGUAAGUUAGAGGUGAAAGCCCGGAGCUCAACUCCGGAACUGCCUUUAAGACUGCAUCGCUAGAAUUGUGGAGAGGUGAGUGGAAUUCCGAGUGUAGAGGUGAAAUUCGUAGAUAUUCGGAAAAACACCAGUGGCGAAGGCGACUCACUGGACACAUAUUGACGCUGAGGUGCGAAAGCGUGGGGAGCAAACAGG
rnacentral:rRNA from 1 species